rnacentral:lncRNA from 1 species
CCAGUGGUAAGCGUUGUCCCUUCCGAUUGUAUUUGUUUGAGUAGUACUGUAGUAUUGACUUCGGUUUUGUAGGCCUUGGCGAGAAGACAGCGCUGGUGAUUAUUCCCGCGGCUCCUAGUACUCGGCCGCCUGUCGCCGAGAAGAAGCGUGUGCGACUACCGCCACGUUCAACCCGGUGAGCUUUCUUGUCUGUUUGAAUGACGUUGGGUUGUCUUGAAAUCAUGUAGUGACACUUUUUGGUGCAGAGAUGCAGAGGAGACUAUCCCUGUAGAGACAGGGGUAGUGCCGGAUCCCUCGACUACAAUAUCUGUUCCUUUGGAGGACUUGACUGUUGAAGAGGUACCUGAGGUUGACGC